UACAGAGGGUGCGAGCGUUGUCCGGAAUCACUGGGCGUAAAGGGCGCGUAGGCGGUUGCCUAAGCGUGUGGUGAAAGCCCGGGGCUCAACCCCGGGUCGGCCAUGCGAACUGGGCGACUGGAGCCGAUCAGAGGCAGGCGGAAUUCCGGGUGUAGCGGUGGAAUGCGUAGAGAUCCGGAAGAACACCGGUGGCGAAGGCGGCCUGCUGGGAUCUUGCUGACGCUGAGGCGCGACAGCGUGGGGAGCAAACAGG
rnacentral:rRNA from 1 species